GGGAAAUGUCUCUGUGGGAGGAAAGGGAGUGGCAGAAAGUCACUCCAAGUGGGACCCAGGCUGCCAAAUGUUGGUCUCCAGCACAUGUUCCCUGUACUUGGGCUCAGCUCCGGAAGGGGAAGAGCUCACAAUGGAAACAGUGAUGGCCAUUUGCUCAGGCAGCCAAGAGAAUGAAAAGCACAUUGAAACUAAGCAGUGUCUCCACAGGAGAGGUACGGUGGGCCCCUUGCUGGUGAAACCAACCUGACAACAGGCAGGAUCACAGAGCCAUUCCCAACAUUUUUCUUCAGUUCAACAACAAGACCUUUCUGUGCAACCUCUCAAGAAAUCUCUGGCAAAUGAUACUGUGGGCAGUAUUACUAAGCUUUACCCAACAAUAGAGGCACACUCAGUCCAGUUCACCCGUUUGCUCUGAAUUCGAUUUUGUUAAUUGAAAGAGCUUUUCUUAAUGUAAGUUUCGGGACGUGCAUCCCCCAACCCAAAGUUUCAUCAACUUCCCUGUUUAUUGCUGCCUCUUGUGAACCUUUUUGACCUCCAGUGAAUGCCUUUUCAGCUGGCAUUUUCAUGCUGUACUUUUGUUCUUCAGCUUACCCAGUGCCACUGUGAAUGUCCUUCUUUACUAACAUGUCAGUAACUGCUGGGCUGUGAAGCCAGCUGACAGUGGGAGAAGGCAGUCGGGGUGAUGGAGUGGCAAGUGCAGUUAAACCAGCUCUGAUGACAGUGCUCACUCACCUGUGCUAAAGCAGGAAGAAUGAGUCUUUUGAGAAUAAGAACAUUUAUAUUGCCUCCUUCCAAAUUCUCCUUGAAAGAGAUCCUCUGGCCACCUUUGGGAUUGCACAAGCCUGUCUCAUGCCCUCUUUGGGGCCAGUGUGUUUCAGCUGCUGCUGCAAAAGUAAGAUGUGUCAGUGCUUGUUAAGUAGGCUCUCAGUUCCAGGUAAGAGCAGUCAUACACCUAGAUGCCAUCAAUGUGCCAGGCAUUUUGCUCUGCAGCCGGGGUACAAGGAUAAGGGAGAGUCCUCAUGUUGCUCCUGAGUAAAGGAGGAUGGCAAGUGACUUCAUAGUGAAAGAGUGCAGUGUGAGGAUGACUGUGACAAAGGUCUAAUACCCAACCUGGGAGAAGGGUGCAGGGUUCUUAGUAAACAACUGGUGAAGGGGAAAUAUUAGUGGCUAGCAAGCAAAAAGAAUUGGGGGUACAUUUGGCAACAGUUUAGAGGGAAGGGUAUUUACAGUGGAGAGACAUCAUAAUCAAAGGCUAGAGGUGAGAGCACAGCAUGGCUGGGCUAGUGGAGUAUGGGGGACGCUGGGGAUGAGGCUGGAGGUCACAGCAGGGAGGACUCUGAGUGCCUUGCAAAGGAGAAUAGUUUUAUCCUGACCGCUCUGCACUUCAGUGAUUUUGAGAGAUGGGUGCUAAGAUGAAGUUACAUUUUACAAAGAUAACUCUUUGCUGUAGCAAGGAGAACAGACUGCAGGAGCAGGGAUGGUGGUGAGGUGACCAUAGUUGGGGGAUUACUGUAGUAACUUCAAGAGAAAUGAUGAGGCCCAGGCAAUAGAGGCUUGAGGAACCACAGUGAGGGGCUGACUUCAGAAACAGGCAGAGGGCGAGGUGAGUGCAGGGAGUGGAAGAGGGAGUGGUUGAAGAUGACUCCCAGGUUGUCGUGUUGGUGACAGAAUGGAACGCUGUGCCAUGGAUCGUGAAAUGGGACCCAGGAAGAGAAGCUGGUGUUGGGGGGCCAGGAGAUGUAGGCAGGGGAUGUGCCCAGUUUCAGAGGUUAAGAUUUUGGCAGGAUAAGGGCCCAUAGUGGGCAUUUACACGGACUGGUUUAGUGCUCAGGAGAGAGAUGACAUUGAGAUAAAAAUUUUGGAGUCAUCAUUAAAGACAUGGGUUAGAUGAAAUCAUCUACAGAGAAUGUGCAGAUAGAGAAGAGGAGACACUGGUGAGGAGGGAACCCUGGGGAAAUGGAGACUUCAGGAGCGGGUAGAAAAGCAUAGAAACGAGAGUGACUGAGAGACCAGAGGAAAAUCAGGAGAAAGCCAAUUAGGAGCUUCCAGGAGAGAGUAACGUAAAGUAUAGGGGAGGAUCCCUUGAGGCCAGGAGUUUGAGACCAACCUGGCAACAUAGUGACACCCCAUUGCUACAAAAAAAAAAAAUGAAAAUUAGCUGGGUGUGGUGGCAAGUAUCCACGGGCGGGGGACAAGGUUAUUUUGGUAAGCCUAGCAAACUCUGGGGCAGAGAAGUGGAGGGGUAGAAGCUUGCCUAUCUUGAGCUGAGGAG
rnacentral:lncRNA from 1 species